GUAAGUUACUUGUGAAAGCUGUACUCUCAUAUGAUAAUUUGCCUAUCCAGCUUGUGUGUGACUUCUCCAUAAGAAAAUGCAGCCUAAAUUGUUUGCAUUCGCUCUAGGUGGACCGUCUUGCUAUUGUUGGGGGCAGCACGCUCACGUCGUGCGACUCAUUAUGGAGACGUGCUCCAGAAAGGCCUUGCAACAGCAGGUGACAGUUGAAGGCCGUAACGGCAAAAAGGCCUUCAAGGGCACGCAAUUGUUCGCGUGCAUAAUUGUGGCUGUCCACAAGCGCAUGCAGUCCCUGGGCAUCACGGUCACAGACAAGGAAAUAACUGCCCGUAUUGGCAGGUAUUUGACGUGCGCCAUUGACCGGGAAGGUGGUCGAAAGGAAAGACUGCAUUCAAAACAGUAAAUAAAAAUAUAUGGUAUUUUUCCUCAGA